GACGAACGCUGGCGGCGUGCUUAACACAUGCAAGUCGAACGGAAAGGCCCUGCUUUUGUGGGGUGCUCGAGUGGCGAACGGGUGAGUAACACGUGAGUAACCUGCCCUUGACUUUGGGAUAACUUCAGGAAACUGGGGCUAAGACCGGAUAGGAGCUCCUGUUGCAUGGUGGGGGUUGGAACGUCUCGGCGGGUGCGGAUGGACUCGCGGCUUAUCAGCUUGUUGGUGGGGUAGUGGCUUACCAACGCAUUGACGGGUCGCCGGCCUGAGAGGGUGACCGGGCUCAAUGGGACUGAGGGAGGGAGCAGACUGGAACGUGGGGCAACAGGGGGGAGUAUUGCACAGUGAGCGGGAGCCUGUUGCGGAGGCGCCGGGUGCGGAAAGACGGCCUUCGGGUUGUGAACCGCUUUCGCCUGUGACGAAGCGUGAGUGACGGUAAUGAAUGAAGAAGCACCGGCUAACUACGUG
rnacentral:rRNA from 1 species